GCUUUCACAUGCAAGUCGAACGGACUUGGGGACUUGCUCCCAGGUUAGUGGCGAACGGGUGAGUAACAUAUCGGAACAUAUCCGGAAGUGGGGGAUAACGUAGCGAAAGUUACGCUAAUACCGCAUAUGCCCUGAGGGGGAAAGGGGGGGAUCGCAAGACCUCUCGCUUUCGGAGUGGCCGAUAUCGGAUUAGCUAGAUGGUGAGGUAAAGGCUCACCAUGGCGACGAUCCGUAGCGGGUCUGAGAGGACGACCCGCCACACUGGAACUGAGACACGGUCCAGACUCCUACGGGAGGCAGCAGUGGGGAAUUUUGGACAAUGGGCGCAAGCCUGAUCCAGCCAUACCGCGUGAGUGAAGAAGGCCUUCGGGUUGUAAAGCUCUUUCAGCCGGAAAGAAAUCGCACUUGUUAAUAGCAAGUGCGGAUGACGGUACCGGAAGAAGAAGCACCGGCUAACUACGUGCCAGCAGCCGCGGUAAUACGUAGGGUGCGAGCGUUAAUCGGAAUUACUGGGCGUAAAGCGUGCGCAGGCGGUUUUGUAAGACAGAUGUGAAAUCCCCGGGCUUAACCUGGGAACUGCAUUUGUGACUGCGAGACUAGAGUGUAGCAGAGGGGGGUAGAAUUCCACGUGUAGCAGUGAAAUGCGUAGAGAUGUGGAGGAAUACCGAUGGCGAAGGCAGCCCCCUGGGCUAACACUGACGCUCAUGCACGAAAGCGUGGGGAGCAAACAGGAUUAGAUGCCCUGGUAGCCCACACCCUAAACGAUGUCAACUAGGUGUUGGGGAAGGAGACUUCUUUAGUACCGCAGCUAACGCGUGAAGUUGACCGCCUGGGGAGUACGGUCGCAAGAUUAAAACUCAAA
rnacentral:rRNA from 1 species